rnacentral:tRNA from 1 species
AAGAAUUUAAGUUAAAUUAAAACUAUUAGCCUUCAAAGCCAAAAUUAGAUGAAUUAAAUCUAAUUCUUA